rnacentral:snoRNA from 1 species
GCAGCGCGGAUAAUGAGUUUACAUUUAUACUAGGUUGAAUUCUGAUCGACGAACCGACGAACCGUGUUUCUCCGGUUCGAACGAUGACCACGUGUGUCCCUCUCAAUUUGAGGCGCUGA